AGGGUUUGAUCAUGGCUCAGGAUGAACGCUGGCGGCGUGCUUAACACAUGCAAGUCGAACGAACCUUCGGGUUAGUGGCGGACGGGUGAGUAACGCGUGGGAAUCUGCCCUCAGGAGGGGGAUAACGGCUGGAAACGGCCGCUAAUACCCCAUAUGCCGAGAGGUGAAAUGAAUUUCGCCUGAGGAUGAGCCCGCGUCUGAUUAGCUAGUUGGUGAGGUAAGAGCUCACCAAGGCAUCGAUCAGUAGCUGGUCUGAGAGGAUGAUCAGCCACACUGGGACUGAGACACGGCCCAGACUCCUACGGGAGGCAGCAGUGGGGAAUUUUCCGCAAUGGGCGAAAGCCUGACGGAGCAACGCCGCGUGAGGGAUGAAGGCCUCUGGGCUGUAAACCUCUUUUCUCAAGGAAGAAGAUCUGACGGUACUUGAGGAAUAAGCCACGGCUAAUUCCGUGCCAGCAGCCGCGGUAAUACGGGAGUGGCAAGCGUUAUCCGGAAUUAUUGGGCGUAAAGCGUCCGCAGGCGGCCCUUCAAGUCUGCUGUUAAAACGUGGAGCUUAACUCCAUCAUGGCAGUGGAAACUGUUGGGCUUGAGUGUGGUAGGGGCAGAGGGAAUUCCCGGUGUAGCGGUGAAAUGCGUAGAUAUCGGGAAGAACACCAGUGGCGAAGGCGCUCUGCUGGGCCAUAACUGACGCUCAUGGACGAAAGCCAGGGGAGCGAAAGGGAUUAGAUACCCCUGUAGUCCUGGCCGUAAACGAUGAACACUAGGUGUCGGGGGAAUCGACCCCCUCGGUGUCGUAGCCAACGCGUUAAGUGUUCCGCCUGGGGAGUACGCACGCAAGUGUGAAACUCAAAGGAAUUGACGGGGGCCCGCACAAGCGGUGGAGUAUGUGGUUUAAUUCGAUGCAACGCGAAGAACCUUACCAGGGUUUGACAUCCUGCGAAUCUUUUGGAAACGAGAGAGUGCCUUCGGGAGCGCAGUGACAGGUGGUGCAUGGCUGUCGUCAGCUCGUGUCGUGAGAUGUUGGGUUAAGUCCCGCAACGAGCGCAACCCACGUCUUUAGUUGCCAGCAUUUAGUUGGGCACUCUAGAGAGACCGCCGGUGAUAAACCGGAGGAAGGUGUGGAUGACGUCAAGUCAUCAUGCCCCUUACAUCCUGGGCUACACACGUACUACAAUGCUACGGACAAAGAGCAGCAAGUUCGCGAGGACAAGCAAAUCUCAUAAACCGUGGCUCAGUUCAGAUCGUAGGCUGCAACUCGCCUACGUGAAGGAGGAAUCGCUAGUAAUCGCAGGUCAGCAUACUGCGGUGAAUACGUUCCCGGGCCUUGUACACACCGCCCGUCACACCAUGGAAGUUGGCCACGCCCGAAGCCGUUACUCCAACCCUUGUGGAGGAGGACGUCGAAGGUGGGGCUGAUGACUGGGGUGAAGUCAUAACAAGGUAACCGUA
rnacentral:rRNA from 1 species